UACGGGAGGCAGCAGUGGGGAAUAUUGCACAAUGGGGGAAACCCUGAUGCAGCAACGCCGCGUGAGUGAAGAAGUAUUUCGGUAUGUAAAGCUCUAUCAGCAGGAAAGAAAAUGACGGUACCUGACUAAGAAGCCCCGGCUAACUACGUGCCAGCAGCCGCGGUAAUACGUAGGGGGCAAGCGUUAUCCGGAUUUACUGGGUGUAAAGGGAGCGUAGACGGUUUUGCAAGUCUGAAGUGAAAGCCCGGGGCUUAACCCCGGGACUGCUUUGGAAACUGUAGAACUAGAGUGCAGGAGAGGUAAGUGGAAUUCCUAGUGUAGCGGUGAAAUGCGUAGAUAUUAGGAGGAACACCAGUGGCGAAGGCGGCUUACUGGACUGUAACUGACGUUGAGGCUCGAAAGCGUGGGGAGCAAACAGGAUUAGAUACCCUGGUAGUCCACGCCGUAAACGAUGAUUACUAGGUGUUGGUGGGUAUGACCCAUCGGUGCCGCAGCAAACGCAAUAAGUAAUCCACCUGGGGAGUACGUUCGCAAGAAUGAAACUCAA
rnacentral:rRNA from 1 species